UUAGAGUUUGAUCAUGGCUCAGGAUGAACGCUAGCGGCAGGCUUAACACAUGCAAGUCGAGGGGCAGCGAGAAUAGCAAUAUUUGUCGGCGACCGGCGCACGGGUGAGUAACGCGUAUGCAACCUACCCUUUAUCGGGGGAUAGCCCGGAGAAAUUCGGAUUAAUACCCCAUAGUAUUAUAUUUUGGCAUCAAGAGAUAAUUAAAACUCCGGUGAUAGAGGAUGGGCAUGCGUGACAUUAGUUAGUUGGUGAGGUAACGGCUCACCAAGACCAUGAUGUCUACGGGGUCUAAAAGGAUGGUCCCGCACACUGGUACUGAGACACGGACCAGACUCCUACGGGAGGCAGCAGUGAGGAAUAUUGGUCAAUGGGCGCAAGCCUGAACCAGCCAUGCCGCGUGAAGGAUGACGGCCCUAUGGGUUGUAAACUUCUUUUGUACGAGAAGAACAUGAGAUACGUGUAUUUCACUGACUGUAUCGUAUGAAUAAGGAUCGGCUAACUCCGUGCCAGCAGCCGCGGUAAUACGGAGGGUGCAGGCGUUAUCCGGAUUUACUAGGUUUAAAGGGUCUGUAGGCGGUAUAAUAAGUCAGUGGUGAAAGCCCUGAGCUCAACUGAGGAAUUGCCAUUGAUACUGUUAUACUUGAGUUUGGUUGAUGUUGGCGGAAUGUAUCAUGUAGCGGUGAAAUGCAUAGAUAUGAUACAGAACACCGAUUGCGAAGGCAGCUGACAAAACCAAAACUGACGCUGAUAGACGAAAGCGUGGGGAGCGAACAGGAUUAGAUACCCUGGUAGUCCACGCCGUAAACGAUGAUCACUCGUUCUUAGCGAUACACCGUUAGGGACUGAGCGAAAGCAUUAAGUGAUCCACCUGGGGAGUACGUUCGCAAGAAUGAAACUCAAAGGAAUUGACGGGGGCCCGCACAAGCGGAGGAACAUGUGGUUUAAUUCGAUGAUACGCGAGGAACCUUACCUGGGCUUGAAUGCUAAGCGUCUUCGGACGUAGACCAUCGAAAGAUGGCUUAAAUUUGCAAGGUGCUGCAUGGUUGUCGUCAGCUCGUGCCGUGAGGUGUCGGGUUAAGUCCCAUAACGAGCGCAACCCUCAUCCUUAGUUGCCAACAGUUCGGCUGGGAACUCUAAGGAAACUGCCAUCGUAAGAUGUGAGGAAGGUGGGGAUGACGUCAAAUCAGCACGGCCCUUAUGUCCAGGGCUACACACGUGUUACAAUGGUCGGUACAAAAGGUUGCCACCUGGUGACAGGGAGCUAAUCCAAAAAACCGGCCCCAGUUCGGAUUGGAGUCUGCAAUUCGACUCCAUGAAGCCGGAUUCGCUAGUAACCGCGUAUCAGCAACGACGCGGUGAAUACGUUCCCGGGCCUUGUACACACCGCCCGUCAAGCCAUGGAAGCUGGGUGCACCUGAAGUCCGUGACCGCAAGGAGCGGCCGAAGGUGAAACUAGUGACUGGGGCUAAGUCGUAACAAGGUAGCCAAGGGCGAA
rnacentral:rRNA from 1 species